AUACUUCCGGAAAUUUUGCAUAAAACUAGCAAGUGAGCUUUAUUCUCUGUACAAUUUUUAAGACUCCAUGCCAAGUUAAGUAAACAGAAAUGGUCUUUUUGAUUACGUUUUUUACUAUCUAAGGCCGGUCCUUUAGAUAGUUGGUUUUGGACCUGUCAAAUAGAUGGCGUAAAAGAAUAUUGUGUUGAUAUGUGCUUAUGGCGGCUCGUUGUCAACAGUUCAGCUACAGGCUACAGCUAUUUUCUUCAAAAAUUACCAAUGAAUUCGUUGGAGACUAAUGUGAAAGGGGCAUACAGCCUACUGUCAACUAUUGUGUUGUAAAUCCUGGGAUCCUACUGAAUGUGUCAUCCAAAUGACAGGAUUCAUCAUAAUUAUCGACUGAUUCUAUAAGACUUGCACCAACCCCAGCAUGGACCAAUCUCUCAUUCCAUCUUCUAGAGAACCUUGGAUAACUGAUUGAUGGUUUUGUGUGUCGAGUCAUGUCCUUUGAAGAAAAAGGACAAUGACUAUACAGUCAACAAGGUCCUU